UACGGGGGGGGCAAGCGUUGUUCGGAAUUACUGGGCGUAAAGGGCUCGUAGGCGGCCAACUAAGUCAGACGUGAAAUCCCUCGGCUUAACCGGGGAACUGCGUCUGAUACUGGAUGGCUAGAGGUUGGGAGAGGGAUGCGGAAUUCCAGGUGUAGCGGUGAAAUGCGUAGAUAUCUGGAGGAAUACCGGUGGCGAAGGCGGCAUCCUGGACCGACAUUGACGCUGAGGAGCGAAAAGCUAGGGGAGCAAACGGGG
rnacentral:rRNA from 1 species